UAAGGAAUAUUGGUCAAUGGACGCAAGUCUGAACCAGCCAUGCCGCGUGGAGGAUUAAGGCCCUCUGGGUUGUAAACUCCUUUUAUCUGGGAAGAAAUGUACUUUUUCUUGAGUACUUGACGGUACCAGAGGAAUAAGCACCGGCUAACUCCGUGCCAGCAGCCGCGGUAAUACGGAGGGUGCAAGCGUUAUCCGGAUUCACUGGGUUUAAAGGGUGCGUAGGUGGGCAGGUAAGUCAGUGGUGAAAUCUCCGGGCUUAACCCGGAAACUGCCGUUGAUACUAUUUGUCUUGAAUAUUGUGGAGGUAAGCGGAAUAUGUCAUGUAGCGGUGAAAUGCUUAGAUAUGACAUAGAACACCAAUUGCGAAGGCAGCUUACUACACAAUCAUUGACGCCGAGGCACGAAAGCGUGGGGAUCAAACA
rnacentral:rRNA from 1 species